rnacentral:rRNA from 1 species
UUCCUGGUGUCUUUAUUUUUAUGGAACCACACCAACCCAUCCCGAACUUGGUUGUGAAACAUAAAGAGAGUGAAAAUACUUAAGCCGUGGGGCUUUGGAAAAAUAACUUGAUGCCAGGAA